rnacentral:rRNA from 1 species
UACGGGGGGGGCAAGCGUUGUUCGGAAUUACUGGGCGUAAAGGGCGCGUAGGCGGCCUUCUAAGUCGGACGUGAAAUCCCUCGGCUUAACCGAGGAACUGCGUCCGAUACUGAAAGGCUUGAAUCCGGGAGAGGGAUGUGGAAUUCCAGGUGUAGCGGUGAAAUGCGUAGAUAUCAGGAGGAACACCGAUGGCGAAGGCAGUUCUCUGGGCCGUAACUGACGCUGAGGAGCGAAAGCUAGGGGAGCAAACGGG